rnacentral:rRNA from 1 species
GAUUAAGCCAUGCAUGUCUAAGUAUAAGCAAUCUAUACGGUGAAACUGCGAAUGGCUCAUUAAAUCAGUUAUCGUUUAUUUGAUAGUACCUUACUACAUGGAUAACCGUGGUAAUUCUAGAGCUAAUACAUGCUAAAAACCCCGACUUCGGGAGGGGUGUAUUUAUUAGAUAAAAGACCAACGCCCUUCGGGGCUCCCUGGUGAUUCAUGAUAACUUAACGAAUCGCAUGGCCUUGCGCCGGCGAUGGUUCAUUCAAAUUUCUGCCCUAUCAACUUUCGAUGGUAGGAUAGUGGCCUACCAUGGUAUCAACGGGUAACGGGGAAUUAGGGUUCGAUUCCGGAGAGGGAGCCUGAGAAACGGCUACCACAUCCAAGGAAGGCAGCAGGCGCGCAAAUUACCCAAUCCCGACACGGGGAGGUAGUGACAAUAAAUACUGAUACAGGGCUCUUUUGGGUCUUGUAAUUGGAAUGAGUACAAUUUAAAUCCCUUAACGAGGAACAAUUGGAGGGCAAGUCUGGUGCCAGCAGCCGCGGUAAUUCCAGCUCCAAUAGCGUAUAUUAAAGUUGUUGCAGUUAAAAAGCUCGUAGUUGAACCUCGGGCCUGGCUGGCCGGUCCGCCUCACCGCGUGCACUGGUCCGGCCGGGCCUUUCCUCCUGGGGAUCCGCAUGCCCUUCACUGGGUGUGCCGGGGAACCAGGACUUUUACUUUGAAAAAAUUAGAGUGUUCAAAGCAGGCCUUUGCUCGAAUACAUUAGCA